AUUCUUCAGUUUUACUGCCUGCACCAGCGGCCACACAUGCACCAAGCACCACAUCCACUUCAGUCCUUCCAGAGGACUCCAGAUCAGCAAUUCAGAGAGGGGGCAGGACCCAUGUAGCUUCAAUGCUUGAAAAGGUUUUGAAAGCCCUGAAAGAGAUCAAAGCUGAGCUGGGCGCUCAAAGUAAAGGUAUCCAGCGCCUUGAAAGUGCCAUAGACCUUCAGCAAAGACCAUCUGCAGGGCCCAGCUUGGACUCCUCCGUGCUGGAUUUGCUUCCCCUUACAACACAGUCAAGUCUGGAGGAGCUUGAGCGCCUACUCCAAGAUGACGCUAACAGAGCAGGACUGAUUUCCCAUCUCUCGCACAUCGGGGGAGCCUCUCUGCCAGAUGCUGUGCGCCACAUCCUAAAACGAUGCAUGAAUGACAUCCUUGCCCAAGAUUUCUCGUUGACAGGGCGAAAGGGAAAGCGGCCGUUAAUAGGCCUGCGACUGACGCGAGUAAUAAAAGGUGAGGAACUUAAUAAUUCUUAUUUAGUGCUGUCUUCACGGUGC